CCUACGGGAGGCAGCAGUGAGGAAUAUUGGUCAAUGGGCGAGAGCCUGAACCAGCCAAGUCGCGUGAAGGAUGACUGCCCUACGGGUGGAAAACUUCUUUUAUAAAGGAAUAAAGUGAGGCACGUGUGCCUUUUUAUAUGUACUUUAUGAAUAAGGAACGGCUAACGCCGUGCCAGCAGCCGCGGUAAUACGGAGGAUCCGAGCGUUAUCCGGAUAUAGUGGGUUUAAAGGGAGCGUAGAUGGGUUGUUAAGUCAGUUGUGAAAGUUUGCGGCUCAACCGUAAAACUGCAAUUGAUACUGGCAGCCUUGAGUACAGUUGAGGUAGGCGGAAUUCGUGGUGUAGCGGUGAAAUGCUUAGAUAUCACGAAGAACACCGAUUGCGAAGGCAGCUUACUAAACUGCCACUGACAUUGAUGCUCGAAAGUGUGGGUAGCAAACAGGAUUAGAUACCCUAGUAGUC
rnacentral:rRNA from 1 species